rnacentral:rRNA from 1 species
UGUUGCUUGCAAGGGCGUAUGGUGGAUGCCUUGGCAGACAGGACCGAUGAAGGACGUUUGAGGCUGCGAUAUGCCUCGGGGAGCCGCCAACAGGGCUUUGAUCCGAGGAUUUCCGAAUGGGGGAACCCACCGACCGUCAUGGGUCGGUACCGGCUUCGGCCGGGGGGUACGCAGGGAAGUGAAACAUCUCAGUACCUGCAGGAAAGGAUAUUCCGUGAGUAGUGGCGAGCGAAAGCGGAUGAUGGCCAAACCUUGCGCGUGUGACAGGCGCCAGCCGUUGCGCGCGUGGUGUUGAGGGAGCGUGUGUCCGGGUCCUAGCGGGCCCGGCCGGAGUGAUAGGGCGGCGUGUGAGGCGAACCGGAUUGAAUGCCGGGCCGCAGAGGGUGAUGGCCCCGUAGCCGAACGCGCGUCGUCUCCGGAUCGUGUUUCCCAAGUAGCGCGGGCCUCGUGGAAUCCCGUGUGAAUCCGCCCCGACCGUGGGGUAAGCCUAGAUAUACC